rnacentral:rRNA from 1 species
ACGGGAGGCAGCAGUAGGGAAUAUUGCACAAUGGGGGGAACCCUAAUGCAGCAACGCCACGUGUGGGAAGAAGCAUUUCGGUGUGUAAACCACUGUCGUGAGGGAGUAAUGCUUGAUUUCGGUCAAGUUGAAUGUACCUCGAAAGGAAGCACCGGCAAACUUCGUGCCAGCAGCCGCGGUAAUACGAGGGGUGCAAGCGUUGUUCGGAAUCACUGGGCGUAAAGGGAGCGUAGGCGGAGACGCAAGCAGUCUGUACAAUACCGGGGCCCAACCCCGGACGUGCAGACUGGACUGUGUCUCUUGGAUAGUUCAGGGGCAGGCGGAAUUCCUGGUGUAGCGGUGGAAUGCGUAGAGAUCAGGAAGAACACCGAUGGCGAAGGCAGCCUGCUGGGGAAUCAUCGACGCUGAGGCUCGAAAGUGCGGGUAGCAAACAGGAUUAGAUACCCUGGUA